rnacentral:misc_RNA from 1 species
AACCAUAGAAACCUGCGGAGUACCUGCGGAGGGAUCAUUAAAUAUAUAUUAUGGUUUUUUUAAAACCAUUUUCCUCGUGAUUUCCGUAUACGUUCACUUCGGCAGGUUUUGGGUUGUCUAGCUCAACUUUCAAGUCUCAUUUUCUGAGGUUAUGAAAGCGGCCUGCCAGAGGUUUUUCAAAUCACUUGUUUAAAUUAUCGUCUGAAAAAUUCUCUCGUUCGAGAGAAAUGAAUACAAAUA